rnacentral:rRNA from 1 species
AGCAGCCGCGGUAAUUCCAGCUCCAAUAGCGUAUAUUAAAGUUGUUGCAGUUAAAAAGCUCGUAGUUGAAUUUCGGAAUCGAUGGAUCGGUCACGCCAUUCGGUGUGUACUGGUUUAAUUGGUUCUCACCUUCUAAGGAACCGUGAUGUCAUUAAUUUGGUGUCGCGGGGAAUUAGGACUGUUACCUUGAAAAAAUUAGAGUGUUUAAAGCAAGCUCACGCUUGAAUACAUUAGCAUGGAAUAAUGAAAUAGGACAUUGUAUUCUAUUUUGUUGGUUUCUAGGAUCGAUGUAAUGAUUAAUAGGGAUAGUUGGGGGCAUUAGUAUUCAAUUGUCAGAGGUGAAAUUCUUGGAUUUAUUGAAGACUAACUACUGCGAAAGCAUUUGCCAAGGAUGUUUUCAUUAA